AGCGAGCUUCCCUGUGGCUGCCAUGGCAACCAGAGUGUGGGACCGUGCUGCCUGCUGCGGGGAUAUGGCGGAGCGGGUCUCCCUAGGGGCCUCGUCCGCUCCGUUUCUCAAAGACUAAAAUAUUACGUUGAUGUGUAAAGAAAAGAAGAUAGUUUUGAUUUAUCUGGAGCUAGCAGGAAUGAGGCUGAAAGUUCCAGUUUCUAUAUGCAUCCUGGAAGCAUUGCUGAACAAAAAUAUGAUCAGUGCCUCAAGCAUAAUUUUACAGAUUGUAAAUUCGAAGCAUCUCUUCGAGUGUAUACAGGAAAUUCUGAAGAAUGUGAAAGAAAAUUACAGGGCAGCCCAGAAAGACAACAGGAAAUGAAGAUCAUCAAAAAAAAAUUGGCACAAAACAAAGAAGCUGCACAGCUUCCCUUCCAGACUAUCUCAAUUUCCUCCUCCCUCAUACACAUCACAAGAAGAAGUCAUGAGGCUCAUUUCAUCAGCUUCAAAGCUAAUUGUUGCGGCGACUUGUGAAAUCUCUUCGGAGGAAAUAAAGAAGCCAGACUGUGCCUCACCCCAGAAGAGGAAAGAAGCUAAAAAUAUUCAAAGAUUGGACCAUAACUGUAAACAGCGUACACCUCCUCUUGUGAUCUCUCCAGAUCCCCAUGAAUAUGACGCUAAGAGUACACGGGAAACGAACAAAUUAGAAGAAUCAAAUGCUGACUUUAUCCAAGAAGAUUCAAGGAAUGAUUAUGGGAAAAAUACGAACAAAGGCAAGAAAGAAAAAAACAUUAGAAAUGUAAAUGGACCGGUCAGAGUUGAGAGAUCAUCUAACAUUUCCAGUAACUCAUCUAAACAUAAGAGUGUACUUUCUAAAACUUCUACAAGAGCAACUGAUUUAAAUUCAUUGUACUUAAGUACCAUAUUUCCAUAUGCACAACGAACUGACAGAAGUAAAGCUUCUAAAAAAAAUGUGCUUAAUGAAGGAGAGUCCUCUGCCUUGUGCAGGCAUUCAGAUAUCAUGAAGAGCAAGAUACAGAACCCAGUACUGGCCACGUAGCAGGCUUGACAAGUUUUGCUCACUCUCAGAAAAAUGAAUGCAUCUCUAGGUACCUCUAUAAGUCAUCUGAAUUCAAAAGGCAAAAGUCACCCCAAGUGCCUAGUAGAAAGCAUUCAGGCAGCAGAGGUAGUAAGUCUAGCAAGCUUUCACAGAGAAGGCCAAUAGAGAACUCCAGGAAUAUGCCACUACAUCAAAAAGAAAGAAGAAAUAGUGAAGGAAACAGGGAAUUAAAUGAGAAAAUAAUUCAUACUAUUUCCACAAAUGCACAAACCCCAAUCAUAAAUGAAAACACGGGAAAAUAAACAGCUUCUUUUGUGACUCUUAAAGGUGGCGUUCACCACAGCCAAAAUAACACGUGUAACAGCCUUCAUCAGAGAACUUAAAGUAACCAGCCCCAAAAAAAGAAGAAAGAUUUGUGUGAAUUAGCUACAGGAAAAAAUACCAAAUCCCAUAAGGUCUGUUUCCAAGGUCCAUUGCAGUUUUCCAGAAAUACUGAACAGAAAUGUAAAUGUGUAAACUUGAAUAGUUGUAACAUAACAAGUGAAUAUGGAAUUCAAACCAUUGCUUCAGAAAGUAAAUCUUUAGAAACUAUGACAUCUUCCAGAGAAUGAAAAUGAAGAACACCUUUCUAGGGUUACACUUGGAGCACCUUCCUUUUUACGUCAAGUUUUCCUGGAAAUGGAGCAAGAUGCAUCACCUACUUCAACUGCAUUUGAGCCUAAAGAUCUGGACAGCAGUUUAGAAAACAAAAAUAUACAACAAUUAUCUAACCAGCUUUUCAUCCUUAAUGAAUCCACAGGAGACAAGAAGGUUCAGGAUGCUAUCAGUAAUGUACAUACAAGGGACAUUAUUUUAACAGACCAUGUGAUUGGCAAAUGGCACAUAUCCCACAGAAGGCUCAGUGUUGUUGCACCUGUGCAGAACAACAACGUAACUUUAUAUCUGAAACAUCUGAUGAAGAACAAGACAGUUUCUCAGAUUCAUCGGUGACAGUAACAAGUAUCCUAGGUGCAUCAGAAAACGAACAGUCAGAGGAGUUCAUUGUAUCAUCUGUAUCUGACAGCCUGAGUCUUAGAUCGUUAUCUGAUGUGCAUGAACAGAUGGAAAAAAACAAUUGUGUUGACCGAAAAGAGGAGGAAAACUCUGACUCCAGCAUAGGCCAUCUUGAUCAAAGAGUUCUAGAGGAAAUGCAGAAGAUUAGCACCUCUGACAGGCUCGCUCAGACAAACUCCUUCCAUUUCAGAUAUUAAUAUUUAUUCUACCUGAAAAGAACCAGAUAGGCCGUUAGGUUUCCAUUUCAGGGACCCACAUCUUUGAGCUGGUAUUCAAUAUUGGGGACCUGAUGAUGCCUUCCUUUCUAUAGCACUGCAGUAAUCUCACCUGAUGGUAACAAAAUCAUGGAUAACAAUGGGAUGGUUCAAAUUCACAAGAGUGAAUGUAAGAUCCCUCUCAAGUGCAAGAUAAGAAUGAGUAUUACUUAUUCUGCCCCAAGGAACUUAUAAUCUAAAUUGCUAUCUGGCAAUCCAGAAACCACCCAAGAUCCAACAAAUUCCCCAACCAAACCAAGACAUGACCCAUUAAUCAAAGAUACUGAUAUAAUUUCUGCCAUUUCCUCAGUAUCUUGGUCUUGUCUGGGCUGAGUCUCAGUCUGCUCAGCUCAUAUCUAUGCAUCAGCCUCUGUCAGGCAGUGCUAUGAUGCAUUAAAUCUAUGUCACUGAUUUUCAUACUACAGCUCUACAGAUGAAGAAGGGACAGCAAAUAUGGAUAUGACACGUAAGAGUGUCAAUACCAGUCAUAUUUCCAUCAUUUUCCACGUUACAUUAGUACAUAAGUUAUCAGGUCAGUAGUAAACUGUUAGAAUAAAAAAUGGUUAAAAUCAAACUUAACAUGCCCCAGUCAGAACUGAUACCAUAUACAAAAAUUAUGGUGUUUCCUUCUCUGAGUUAGUAGGUAUGUAAUGGUAUCUGUUGCUUUAAAGCAUCACAGAUUGCGCUAGUUAAGGCAUAAUAUUUCUCACUUUCAUGACAAAGAACGUGACUUUUAGAGUUCACACACAAAAAAUCAUGUUCUUGAUCUCUCCAUUCAGCUGCUCCCAAGCAAGCCUUCAUACAUUUAAUGGCUAGUGUAGUGGACUGUGGGAUUUUUAAAUGUCUUUAAACCAUUCAAUAUUACUACAUUAAAAAAACAAUUAUUGUAAAAUAAAGGAUAUUUGGCUUCUCAACUUCCUAUAACUUCUUAAUUAGCACAGUGGGUGAUAUCCAGGGCCCAUUCAAGUCAGUGAAGUUUUGCCUUUAACUUCAGUGGGGCUGGCGUUUCAUGUCUUUGUGUCAUGACUUUUCCUUCUGUAAACUACUUAAUAUUCUUCUCACUUUUUACCGUCACACACAACCAACCUUAGUUAUGUUUAAUGACUGUUUUGUUGCAAAGCUUCAUCAAAGGGCUGGUCCAGCACGCAAGGGACUUUGACGGAGCUCCCAUGUGCCUGUUGUGACCAGAAUCAAGCCCUACAUUAAUUUAAGCUGUAAUGAAUAAUUGAUAAUGCUUUUAAAAUUAGAUAAAGUGCACCUCAUACAGCUAUGCUGAUUUCUGCUGAAUUAAGUUACAUAUUGCCAGCUAAAUUAGGACAACUGCAAAUCAUGUCAACUUGUUUAGAAAGCUAUUAUAAUGAUGUGCACCUAAAAACCCAGUCAGGCAAGGUGAGACAUGUGAGCAGACCUCUGCACCCAUGCGGAGCUUCACUGACUUCACUAGGGCUUUGUGCAGAUUUAAGGGUUUGCACACUUAGCUCAGUUUACAGGACUGGGGGCCUAAAUAGUAUUUACUUUAAAAGUGUAAUAUUUGUGACACAUACACCUGCACAAAGUGUUACACCUGAGGGAAUUUUGCACCAAAAAACUAAAAAUUCUGUGCACAUCUUAAAAUUCUGAAAAUUUUAUUUGUCAAUAAAUAAACGUGGAGACUCCCACAUGGCAGUGGGGAGAACAGGCCACUGGCUGCAUAGAGGUGGGAGAUCACCCUGCAGUCCCCCCAGGACACAGACUUAACGGUGGGGCUGCACACAACCCUGACAAAGUGCAAGGGCCGGGCCUGCCCCAGAAACACCCUGGGGCCCUGCCCCUCUGUACCAGGUGUGGGCAGGCAGGCUCCUCUUGGCAGGAUCCAAGUGUGGAGGGGCUUAGUGUGGGGUAACCUGGGUGCGGGCAGCUCAGUAGGGGAUCUGGAUGCACAAAGGCUCAUUUGGGGGUGGGGCGGUUCUGGGUGCAGGGGCAAUGGGAUUCUGCAGGGGGGUCCAGGUGAAGGUGGUUGGAACUUGAUUGGGGGGGGGUCAGUGUGUGGGGAGGCUCAAUGGGGAGGGGUCCGGGUGCUGGGGGAGUGGGGCUUGGUGGGAUGGGAAUCCAGGUGCAGCUGGUUGGGGCUCAGUGGGGUGGGGGUCCAGUGGGGGGGGGCUCGUUGGGGUGGUGCAGGGGGGAUGGGGUGUUUGAUAAGCCUGCUUAACAGGGGAGCCCCAGCUGCUGCUGCCACAUGCCAAGCUCCCACUCCUCCCUAUACCCACUGUCCCUGCCUCAUCCCCUCCCCAUUUCUCUCUCCACUGUCCCCUGCCCCUGUCUCACUCCCACAUUGCCUCUUCCUCGCCCCACCACAGGCCCUCCCCCUUGUACAGAAAACAGGAAGGCUCCCAACACACACAAGGGGAGCACAACCAGCACGAGAACCCAGGAGGCGGCAUCCAGCUGCAGAGGCAGCAGCCGGAGCUGAACCCUCUGUCAGCCAAGCAGCUCUGCGCUCACAGAAAUGGGGAGUAACAGUGGCAUAUGACCCCAUGUGCUCCCCCAUCUCACCUCUGUUUGGGGGGACAAUGCCUCCCCAAACUACACCCACCAAAAACCACACAGGCACAUGAGCACUCAUGCAGAUUCCCUUUGCUUCCCCAUCAUUUUCUGCUGAGAAGCAAAGAAAUCUGCAGAGGGACCUGAAUUCUGCGCCCGCGCAGUGACACAGAAUUCCCCCAGGAGUAAAAGUAUAUAAAAAAAUCAAAGUGGCACCGUAACUGGGUCUGCUCCUGUGAGGCUUUCAUGCACAGAACUCCCAUUGAUUUCACUAGGAGUUCCACAUUCAGAGAGCUUGCAUGAUUAGGCCCACAGAGCCUGAGUUUGCAAAGACUUACAUAUGUGUUUAACUUUACUACCAUGACUACUAGUACUUUAACUUUGUGCAUUGACUUGUCCCACUGUCUUUAGCAGGACAGCUCACACUGUGUAAAGCUAAGCAUGUCUUUGCAGGACUAUGGUCACAAUUAUUCAUUUUUACCUUUUGUGAAAUCCAUUGAAAGAAUGUGUAAUUUCCUGUUUUGAAAGAAAAUGACUGUCAAUUACAUUACUAGUAAGUAUUGUGUUGGCCUGUAAAUUACUGCAAAUUUACUGUCUCUCUGAUAAUCAGUAUAUUAAAAAGCCCAAUCUAUGUGUAAUUUAUAAUAAAUAUAUUUCCUACCAGUCAAUUGAAUUUUUUUAAAGUGAUAAAAUAGCUCCAAGGAAAGACUGUUUUUUAUACCACUGUGGGAAAGGGGUCCAGCAGUCAGAUUGGAUAUUUCCUAGAACCACAUGAAGCGGAGAUAAAACAGAAAGACACAAAUGCUCUUAAUUCCCUUCCAAGACAGUACUUUGUUCUCAACUGAAUAUAAAUAUGAUUUAUUUUUUGAACAUUUAGAACAAAUGUCAAAGCUGUUGCUCAGUCUCAAUACAGUUAGCUUUAGACAGCAAUGAAGCUGCGGCAGUGCAGACUGACUUCCCUGUAGAUGCUAAUGAUGCCUAUGGAAGCCAACCCAAUGGAAGUGAGCACAAUAACAUCAUGUUGCCUUAAAUGUGACCCAGAUUUUCAAGCUGUUACCACUAAAAGCCAAGCAUUUAGUAAAAGUGUGUAUCUUAAGUGAGAUUCAUUGAACACAAGAACAAUCCGGAUCCAAUUAGGCCCUGGCCCUGAAGUCUGUGGUAAAACUCACAUUACCCUUCUUUGUACAGGAUUAACCCUUCUGUUAGUUUCUUCAGAGCUGAAACUGACUUGGAAACAGUGAUAUUCAAUUUUCAUAACAUUUUAACAUGGUUUGACUCAUGCGAUUCUUUUCUUACAAAGUGAACAAACAUUUAAAUAUGGUAAAGAUUUUAUUUUUAGCUUUAGAUUUAAAGCAGAUUUGGCAGGUAAGCUCUGUGCUUAAGUUUUGCAGCCUUAUUAGUACAAUUCUGAAAUGGUGAAAAAGAGCAAUUCCUUAUGACAAGAACAGGCAGUAUUUAAUAUAAGCCUAAGCAGUUUAAAGAAGUGUUUUGUGAACCCAACUUAUUUUCACUGUUACUUUAUCAUAGAAAACCAGCACUUACGUUUUUAAAAAAUUUUAGUAACUGAGUCUUUUAAAAAAAUAACUUUAAAUACAAUGGCACUGUCAAUUAUAAAAAUAACUAGUACUUUACUUUGCAUCAGGACAAAACCUAUUAUUACAUGAAUUUUGGGGGGAUUUCAUAACUAAGACUGAUGGUCUCGGAUGGGAUCAUACUCAGCCCCUCCACAGCUGGGGCUACCUUUCUGUUUUUAGCAAGACAGUUUGAUCAGAGCUAGCAUGGAUACAUCUCCUCAAGACGAAAUUUACAACUUCCAACUCCAAUGCAGAUGUACCCUCGGAUCCUGGGUUGAGUUUGCAGUGUCAGCUCUUAGGGAAUUUUUUCUUUAACUUGUUCACAGAAAAUGUAGCACAUUCAAUUGAUUUAAAGCAAAGUGUAUUUUAAAAGCUUAAGAAAUAAUAAAGGGAUGGGAUCUCAGCUGGUGUAAAUUGGCCUUGAAAUGUUCAAUAACGUUAACUAUUUUUUAAAAAUCUCCACACACUAGAUAAGAUUCAGAGUUGUUUAAUGCAUGUUAGUUUUUUAAAAAUUAAUCAUUCCAAGAUAUACAGUCAAAGAUACAGGAUCUGUCACAUUAAAGAUUAACAGUACACCAAGGGCUUGCAUAAAUACUUAUUGCUACUGUGUAAUAUGUUCCAAGUUAUCCUCUACAGAGUUCAAGUAACAUACGCAUACGUACAUACAAUGCACUAUAGAAAACUCUAAGCAAUGGAAGCAGAGUCUUCAAAUAAUGAAAUCUGGUAGAGUAUUUGGAAAUUAUUCGUUCAUAAAAAUAUAGUUCCAUGCUGCUUUUUUUUUUAAACAAGUAGUGCAUUUAAGAGGUACUGGCAUGUAAGAGUGUUAAAGUUUCCAAAUGUUGUACUGUAAAGUUGCUACUUAUUUGCUUUAAAAUAUGUACACCUGAGAGUUAAGCAAGAAAGGCACUAUAACAUUCAAAACUUGUUCAGAACAAAAUUGGAGUAACAGUACAUUACAGGCAUAAAAUAAGGGCCAGAUCCCCAGCUGGUGUAAAUUGGCUUAGCUCCAUUUACUUCAGUUUCACUACACUGAUUUACACCAACUGAGGAUCUGUUCCCAGCGUUUGCUCAAAAUUCCUUUCAUUGUAUUUUGCUUCUGAAACGCUUAGGGCCAAAUUUCCAGUGAAUCAUAGACAAGACUGACCAUAAUAGCUGUUUCAGAGCAAAAACUCUAAGUCUACAUAUUAAAAAUAUUUAAGAAAUCUACUUAAAUGAAUACAGAUUUUAUUUGUUCCCCCUAUGUGCUAAUUCGGCAUAGCAACCUAGAUGCCUCCAACACUUCAGUUUUAAAAGAGAAGUUAGUUGGAAAAGUGUAAAAUUAGGAAUUCCUAUAGUCCCCCGACCCCCCUACUCCCACAGCAUAAUUUAUAAA